GCCAGUGUGGUGUAGUGGUUUGAGUGUUGGACUACAACUCUAGAGACCAGGGUUCGGAUCUUCACUCUGCCA